ensembl:lncRNA
AAAGGGAUGGAGCAGCCCAAAGAGCUGGCGCCACGAACUGACGAGCAGAGCGCAAGUGAUAAAGAUUUACUGCGAGAGAGGAGGAAACAGUCCGCUGGCCCGAUUAGAGCUGUGAAUACCGAGUUGUUCAGGGAGGAUUUUGCAGCUGACUGAUCACAGGCUGUCGGAGCAGGCCUCGGACAACAGCUGCAAGGCUUGCUGGGCUGCAGAAACAAAGGGCGCCUAGCACGGUGCAAAGAAAGAGUUGACAGGUUGUUGUUAGCAGUGGCAAAUGUGUGAGAGCGGCUGCUUGUGAGGCUGGGGGAACGCUUCUGAAAGCAAUCACGUCGCUUCCUACGCUCGCUCUCCUAAACACCUACGUCUGGUCACCUUUAUUCUUCCUGUGCAGGCCCUCGGCUGCGAGCUUCAGACUGCGUGAACGCAAAGGAACUACGAGGACAGCUUCAGGUUCCACUCUCCCCAGUAUGUUACAAUGACGACCCCACGCUGGGAACAGCCACACGGCCCAGAGGUGCCAAGCUGGCACGGAUAUCUCACUCAGCAUUCAGCAUCUAAGCCCUUGGCAAGCCCCAUGGCAGUUGUGCUUGGCUGCUCUUGGAUCUGUCAUGUGGUCAGGCUGCUGAUAGCAGUAGGGUGCUGCGUCCUCUGGGCACCAUUUCACUUUAACACCUGUCUGAUUCAGAGGAAUGCGCGCACAUGGAGAGCAAGAUCCCCACACAAAUCCUCCCAGAGACCCAG